rnacentral:rRNA from 1 species
GACGUAGGGUGCAAGCGUUGUCCGGAAUUAUUGGGCGUAAAGAGCUCGUAGGCGGUCUGUCGCGUCGGCUGUGAAAACUCGGGGCUCAACCCCGAGCCUGCAGUCGAUACGGGCAGACUAGAGUGCUGUAGGGGAGACUGGAAUUCCUGGUGUAGCGGUGAAAUGCGCAGAUAUCAGGAGGAACACCGGUGGCGAAGGCGGGUCUCUGGGCAGUAACUGACGCUGAGGAGCGAAAGCGUGGGGAGCGAACAGG